CGAAAACUCCGCAAUGCGCGAAAGCGUGACGGGGGAACCCCAAGUGCCGUUGGUCUUUGAUCGACGGCUUUUCGGGAGUGUAAGGAGCUCCUGGAAUAAGGGCUGGGUAAGUCGGGUGCCAGCCGCCGCGGUAAUACCCGCAGCCCAAGUGGUGGUCGCGAUUAUUGGGCCUAAAGCACUCGUAGCCGGGCCGGUAAGUCCCUUGUGAAAUCGGGUCGCCUAACGAUUCGGCUUGCAAGGGAUACUGUCGGUCUUGGGACCGAAAGAGGUCGGAGGUACUUCGGGGGUAGCGGUGAAAUGCUGUAAUCCCCGGGGGACCACCAGUGGCGAAGGCGUCCGACCAGGGCGGAUCCGACGGUGAGGGGUGAAGGCUGGGGGAGCGAACGGGAUUAGAUACCCCGGUAGUCCCAGCUGUAAAGGAUGCGGGCUGGGUGUCAGGUGCCCCUCGAGAGCACCUUGUGCCGUAGGGAAGCCGUUAAGCCCGCCGCCUGGGAAGUACGGUCGCAAGGCUGAAACUUAAAGAAAUUGGCGGGGGAGCACUACAAGGGGUGGGACCUGCGGUUUAAUUGGAUUCAACGCCGGACAACUCACCAGGGGCGACAGUUGGUUGAAGGCCAGGUUGACGACCUUGCCGGACUAGCU
rnacentral:rRNA from 1 species